rnacentral:rRNA from 1 species
CCAGGAAUAUUGCGCAAUGGGCGAAAGCCUGACGCAGCGACACCGCGUGCGGGAAGAAGGCCUUAGGGUCGUAAACCGCUGUGGUAAGGGAAGAAGGCCCGCAAGGGUUUGACGGUACCUUACUAGAAAGUGGCUGCUAACUUCGUGCCAGAAGCCUCGGUCAUACGGGGGCCACAAGCGUUAUCCGAUUUUACUGGGUGUAAAGAGACGUGUAGGCGGCUCGAAAAGUCAUGUUUAAAAUUCCAAUGCUUAACAUUGGAUUCGGCAUGAUACUCUCGAGCUUGGAGAUUGUCUUAGGAAAGCGGAACAUUCUUUGUAGCGGUAAAAUGCGUUGAUAAAGAAUGGAACACCAACGGCGAAGGCAGCUUUCUAAAGAUUAUCUGACGCUGAGACUCGAAAGCUAGGGGAGCGAAAGGG